AAACCAACAGGGAUUGCCUCAGUAGCGGCGAGUGAAGCGGCAAGAGCUCAGAUUUGAAAUCGUGCUUCUGGCACGAGUUGUAGAUUGCAGGUUGGAGUCUCGGUUGCGGGCGGCGUCCAAGUCCCUUGGAACAGGGUGCCACUGAGGGUGAGAGCCCCGUAGGAUGCUGCCUAAUGCUGUGAGGCCCUUCUGACGAGUCGAGUUGUUUGGGAAUGCAGCUCUAAGCGGGUGGUAAAUUCCAUCUAAGGCUAAAUACUGGCGAGAGACCGAUAGCGAACAAGUACUGUGAAGGAAAGAUGAAAAGCACUUUGAAAAGAGAGUGAAACAGCACGUGAAAUUGUUGAAAGGGAAGGGUAUUGGGCCCGACAUGGGACUUGCGCACCGCUGCUCCUUGUGGGCGGCGCUCUGCGCUUUUCCUGGGCCAGCAUCGGUUCUUGCUGCAGGAGAAGGGGUCCUGGAACGUAGCUCCUCGGAGUGUUAUAGCCAGGGCCAGAUGCUGCGUGCGGGGACCGAGGGCUGCGACAUCUGUCUCGGAUGCUGGCACAACGGCGCAAUACCGC
rnacentral:rRNA from 1 species